AGAUGUGAGGUUCCUGCUGUCUUAGGGUUCAAAAAGACAAUCGAUUUUAGUCCAUCAUAUAUCAAAGUUGACUUAUCUUCACUCAGGGCACCAUGGGAUAGGUUGGCUGUCCGUUAGUGUCUCUGAUUUUUGCGGAGUCAAACAAUU